rnacentral:lncRNA from 1 species
CUGUAUGUCACAACAUGAGAAGGAAGCAGGCAGAUCAAUCAAUCCCUCAGGUUGGCAAUCAGGAAAUGCCACUGUGUCCUUCCAAAUUUUGUUACCAAAAGGGGUUCUGUACUCACAGCAUCUUACAUGAAACUCUGAGAUCCUAUCCUAAAUCUAAAGCUUACAGCCCUGCUUCUUUCAUUAAGCUGGCCAUGUCACAGAAUGACAAAGUUAGUCCUGUAGAAAUCUUUUCUUUCGUCUUUUGACAUCUCAAAGAUGAUUUCUGUAGCAUCUUUUAUUCCGCGUGCCUAAAUGGGUUACAUUUCUUUGAUUUAGGGAUUUCUGAUAAAAUGCAUAUGGAUAUACUAUGCUUUUAAAAUUUGUUUUAAUGUUAUAAGACAAAACCAGAAUUCUUUUUUAAGCAGAAUUUUUGGAAACUGGCCUCUAAAAGUAUUCCCCAAUGAAGGACAGAAAUGAUGACUAUUCACAGG